rnacentral:miRNA from 1 species
GCCAAUCAGCAGCAGACCCUCCCUCCCAGACCUUCCCACCUCCUGGACAGCUCACUAAGAAUGAAGCUUAAAAAUGGAUGCUGUCCAGGAGGUGGGAGGGUCUGGGAGGGAGGGUCUGCUGGCUGGAAUGU